CGCGGCUUAACCUUCGUUUCCCUGGC
rnacentral:piRNA from 1 species